CCUUGAAGUCUUUUUGAGCUGGUAGGUUCCUCUCCAUCUCUUUCCCAUUCUGGCUUUUGCUAAAGUGUCAUUUAACAGGUUUCUUUACCCUUUGUAUUUCCUGUUAAUUAGGAAUAGACCUGGAAGAGUGAGUGAAUUCAGAUUUAAUGGCAAGAAAACCUCACAGAUAGUGUUGUGUGUUUUCAUCAAAGAUGCGUCAUGUCUGAUUGUCUCUUUUUCUGUGUUGCAGCCAUUGAAGCUCAGUGCUUAGAUUGCUUAUCGAAGCAAUAAGCUCAGUGCUUAUCCAAGUUUGCAACAUGGUGAUACCACCUUUUCACCAUUCCUUUCCUUACAAUACCUGAAAUACCACUAUAAACGGAAACUUGUCUACAUUACUGUUCAUAUUGGAAAGAGGAAAAGCGUCCAGAUUUUUUGCCAGUUUUCUAAAUAAUGAGUUGGUUUACUGGCACCCUCCAAAAGUGACAAGAUCUUCAGUUGCAGCAUGUGGGGUCUGUAGUUUCCGGACCAGCGACUGAACCCAUGCCCACUGCAGUAGAAGUGUGGAAUCCUAGCCACUGGGCCACCAGCAAGGCUCCACUGUCCAGCACUGAAGCCACACCCCAGCUCGCUUCUCCCGCCUCCAUCACUCUCACCAAGCACUCAACCAGCAUGUGCACACAAGCAGCUGAAUGUCGCAGAGGACACCUGCCACCACGCAGCCAGAAUCACUUGACAGUUUAGACCACGUUUCAGAUGGGGCCCAAACCCUGCCGACCUCCCUGUUAGAUUUCUCUGAAAGACUCGGCUUUCCUCUCGGCGUCUAUUCCAUACCAUCACCUCUCCCAUCUGCAGCACCCCAUCUCCAUCCUCAUUGGUCACUUCCAUUCAGACUUCAUAGUCAUGGAAGAUGCAGUUGAGAGGAGCCCCCUUGUCUUCCUGCCACCUGCAUAUCCCCCAAAGGUGGGGGAACACCUCUCUUCUUUAGUCCAAGCCUUUUACUUGGUGUCCAGAUCCAUGCCGCUCAGCUCCUCUGAGACUAAACCCACAAGGUGUCCCCUUUCUCUCCUGCCUUAUCCAUUUCUCCUCUCCUGGCUUGUUCCUGCCUGCAAACACACCAGGCCUCAAGAGCAUCCUCCCUUGGCCCUCUGGAGUCACCACCCCAUUUUUCUGCUCCCCUUUAUGGCAGAACUACUCAAGGAACUUGUCUGUCUUCUCCAUCAUCACUUCCUCUUCGCCUAGUCUCUUCUCAGCCCAUUCUAACAAGGAGGCUUUGCCUCUCCCCCACCUGUUGUUAAGCCACAGUGGUGUUCAUCUUGCCAAAGUAAAAAAUUCUGCCUCAUCUCCUUUUUGCUCUCAACCAACCUCUUUUCUUAGAUGUUGACAACCAGUAUUGUAUUCUGACUUUACCAUCUACAUGUGUGAUUGCUCAGUUGUGUCUGACUCUGUGACCCUAUAGGGUGUAGC
ensembl:lncRNA